rnacentral:rRNA from 1 species
CACGAACGCUGGCGGCAGGCUUAACACAUGCAAGUCGAACGCAUCCUUCGGGGUGAGUGGCAGACGGGUGAGUAACGCGUGGGAAUCUACCCAGUUCUGCGGAACAACAGUUGGAAACGACUGCUAAUACCGCAUACGCCCUACGGGGGAAAGAUUUAUCGGAAUUGGAUGAGCCCGCGUUGGAUUAGCUAGUUGGUGAGGUAAUGGCUCACCAAGGCGACGAUCCAUAGCUGGUCUGAGAGGAUGAUCAGCCACACUGGGACUGAGACACGGCCCAGACUCCUACGGGAGGCAGCAGUGGGGAAUAUUGGACAAUGGGCGCAAGCCUGAUCCAGCCAUGCCGCGUGAGUGAUGAAGGCCUUAGGGUUGUAAAGCUCUUUCAGUGGGGAAGAUAAUGACGGUACCCACAGAAGAAGCCCCGGCUAACUUCGUGCCAGCCGCCGCAGUAACAC